UGUGUGGGUGUUGAUGCGCAGUCUGGCCUGCCCCCUGAAAAUUUUAAAGGGCCGCGGUAUUUGAACCGUGCUAAGGUAGCAUAAUAAAUAGUCUUUUAAUUGAGGUCUAGUAUGAAUGGUCGGACAGGAGGUAAGCUGUUUUAAUUAUAAAAUUUGAAUUUUACUUUUAAGUGAAAAGGCUUAAAUUGGAUAGUGGGACGAUAAGACCCUAUAAAGCUUUACAUUUUAUUUAUUAGUUGUGGAGUUUAAGGUGUUCUAUUCUUUUAAAAUAAAAGUGUUUCGUUGGGGCGACGAGAAUAUAAAAUAAUAACUGUUUUUAUAAAAAAAUAGAUUUUUUUAGGGGUACUGAUCCUUUGUAGAGAUUAAAAGAAUUAAGUUACUUUAGGGAUAACAGCGUAAUUUUUCUUGAGAGUUCAUAUCGACAGAAAUAGUUGCGACCUCGAUGUUGAAUUAAGAUAUCCUCCAGGUGUAGCAGUUUUGGUGGUAGGUCUGUUCGACCUUUAAAAUCUUACAUGAUUUGAGUUCAGACCGGCGUA
rnacentral:rRNA from 1 species